rnacentral:rRNA from 1 species
UACGUAGGGUGCGAGCGUUGUCCGGAAUUACUGGGCGUAAAGAGCUCGUAGGUGGUUUGUCGCGUUGUUCGUGAAAACUCACAGCUCAACUGUGGGCGUGCGGGCGAUACGGGCAGACUGGAGUACUGCAGGGGAGACUGGAAUUCCUGGUGUAGCGGUGGAAUGCGCAGAUAUCUGGAGGAACACCGGUGGCGAAGGCGGCAUCCUGGACCAAUACUGACGCUGAGUGAGCGAAAGCCAGGGGAGCAAACGGG